ACACACCCCGGUGGGGGAUCCCUCGGCCUGCGCGCCGGGCAAGGACGCGGACGCACGCGAUAGACGGCACGAUCCUCAGACACGACUGCCGGUCUCCGACAGCGGCGCAGCCGCAGACAACCCCCCGGACUUAAGCAUAUCACUAGGGGGCGGAGAAGAAACCAACAGGGAUUCCUGCAGUAGCGGCGAGCGAACAGGGACGAGCCCGCAUGGCAAUCGGCAUCGCCGAGUUGUGACAGCGCACCGCGAACGCCCCGGACAGGGCGGCCACAGAGGGCGACAGCCCCGUAGCAGCGCGCAGCGGAGCGAGUAGCGCUGCUUGGUCAUGCAGCGCGAAGCGGUGGUGGCGCCAUCGAAGGCUAAAUACGCCGCAGGACCGAUAGCGCACAAGUACCGCGAGGGGACGGCGACGAGCAGCCCGCAGGGGCGGCGAAAGCGUGAAACCACCGGGGCGCCCACUUGUGGGCCCCGUCUUGAAACACGGACCAAGGAGUGCAUGUGCGCAGCGAGUCCGCUCCGCGGCGCAGCGAAGGCCAUCGAGCUGCGCACAUGCGACCCGAUAGGCAGUGAACUACGCCUGGGCAGGGCGAAGCCCGCGGAAACGCAGGUGGAGGCCCCGAGCCGUUCUGACGUGCAAUUCGAUGGCGCGACCUGGGCGUAGCGGCGAAAGACCAAUCGAACUGCCUGGUAGCUGGUUCCCUCCGAAAUGUCCCGCAGGACAGCGGGCGCCCCGCAGGUCUGCCGCGUAGAGCAAUGGCGCGGCGUCCGGCAGCGCCGGCGCACCCCCAAACUGCGAAGCGGCAGGGCGCGCGCAGCAGCGUGCGCGCGCACAACUGCGGGCGCCUAGUGGGCCGCCGCUGGUAAGCAGCGCCGGCAAUGAGGACACAACCUCGUGCGCGGGCAAGGGACCCCAGCUGCGCACACAGACGAAGGGCGCGGGCGCGUCGCGACAGCAGGGCGGUGGCCAUAGAGGUCGGCACCCGCUAAGAACCGUGUUGCAACGUACCUGCCGAACACGCCCGCCCCGAAAAUGGACGGUGCUCAGCGCAGCCCCGACCCCGCGCACGCACAGCGUGGUAGGAGGGCGCGCCGGCGCCGCAGAAGCGCAUGCGUGCGCAUGCGUGGAGGCACCCGCGGCGCAGAUCUUGGUGGCAGUAGCACACUCGGGCGCGAGCCCCGAGGGCCGGGAGACGGGUUCUUCCGCCAGGCCGCUCCGCGGAAGGUGAGCCGGGUCCUAAGGACGCGCUGGCCCGCAACCGACAGGCAAGCGGGCACACAUUCCCGCGCCGUGUGCCAUGCGGCAACGCACCGUGCGCGGCCGGGCGCAGGGCUGGCGCCGGGGGCCCUCCUCCCCCGCAAAGCGGCCCGCCUGCGGACUCUUGCAGCACGAGGCAGCCCGCGCCGCGUGGCGGGGCCGUCGCCGCGCGCCAGGACUCGCCCCCCGUGAAGCCCCGCGCACGCACACACACGCCCGUACCAAUCCGCACCAGGGCUCCAGGGCGCGCACCCCACGGCCAGGGCCCACGCAGGUUUGGGAAUUCGGCAAGCUGGAUCCGCAACCUCGGGACAAGGAUUGGCUCCGGGCGCCGGAGCUGUCGCUUCCAAGGGGAAUCCGACUGUUUAGUAAAAACAUAGCCUUGCGCCGCACGCAAGGUGAAUUCUGCCCAGUGCCCGGGACGUCACGCCGGCGCGACCCGCGCACGCACGGGUCAACGGCGGGAGUAACUAUGACUCUCUUAAGGUAGCCAAACGCCUCGUCAUCUAAUUAGUGACGCGCAUGAAUGGAGCAACGAGAUUCCCACUGUCCCUACCUGCUCCCCAGCGAACCCACUGCCAAGGGAACGGGCUUGGCGCAGUCAGCGGGGAAAGAAGACCCUGUUGAGCUUGACUCUAGUGUGGGGCCGCGGCGCGCCGCGCCGGCGUAGGCAGGUGGGAGGUGCGCCGUGAGUGAAAGACCACUGCGCGCGCGCGCGCCCGCUUCGCGCAGCAACGCCCCCAGAUGGGGAGUUUGGCUGGGGCGGCACGUCUGCUAGACCCCAACGCAGACGUCCUACGGUGGGCUCAGCGCGGACAGAACCCGCGCGUCGAGCACAAGGGCAAACGCCCGCCUCACGGCGCCCCCCCGGGUGCCGGCGGGAAACCGGGGCCUAGCGAUCCCUCGCGCAUGCACGCCGCGUCGCGGGGGUGGCUGAAAAGUUACCACAGGGAUAACUGGCUUGUGGCGGCCAAGCGUCCGCAGCGACGCCGCUUUUUGAUUCUUCGAUGUCGGCUCUUCCUAGCAUGGCGUGGCAGCGCGCGCCAAGUGUUGGAUUGUUCACCCACUGACAGGGAACGUGAGCUGGGUUUAGACCGUCGUGAGACAGGUUAGUUUUACCCUACUGAGCGCGGACACACCGGGCAGCGCGGGCUAGUACGAGAGGAACGCCCGUGCGGGGCCGCUGGUCCGCGCCUGUCCGACAGGGCAGGUGCGCCGCUACGCCCCGUGCGUGUACGGCUGGACGCCUCUAAGCCGGAGCCGCCCCCCCGUGUGUCUAAACCCCUGGUUUCCGCCCCCCGCGACCACGACGCGGCCGGGGGCUGGUGCUGUGCGCGUGCGAGCUCUGCGAGCCGCUGAGGCUUCCAGACCCCUGCGGGGUGUU
rnacentral:rRNA from 1 species